rnacentral:rRNA from 1 species
AUUGAACGCUGGCGGCAGGCCUAACACAUGCAAGUCGAACGGUAACAGGAAGCAGCUUGCUGCUUUGCUGACGAGUGGCGGACGGGUGAGUAAUGUCUGGGAAACUGCCUGAUGGAGGGGGAUAACUACUGGAAACGGUAGCUAAUACCGCAUAACGUCGCAAGACCAAAGAGGGGGACCUUAGGGCCUCUUGCCAUCGGAUGUGCCCAGAUGGGAUUAGCUAGUAGGUGGGGUAACGGCUCACCUAGGCGACGAUCCCUAGCUGGUCUGAGAGGAUGACCAGCCACACUGGAACUGAGACACGGUCCAGACUCCUACGGGAGGCAGCAGUGGGGAAUAUUGCACAAUGGGCGCAAGCCUGAUGCAGCCAUGCCGCGUGUAUGAAGAAGGCCUUCGGGUUGUAAAGUACUUUCAGCGGGGAGGAAGGGAGUAAAGUUAAUACCUUGGCUCAUUGACGUUACCCGCAGAAGAAGCACCGGCUAACUCCGUG